CCUACGGGAGGCAGCAGUGGGGAAUAUUGCACAAUGGGCGAAAGCCUGAUGCAGCGACGCCGCGUGAGGGAUGACGGCCUUCGGGUUGUAAACCUCUUUCAGCAGGGACGAAGCGCAAGUGACGGUACCUGCAGAAGAAGCACCGGCUAACUACGUGCCAGCAGCCGCGGUAAUACGUAGGGUGCGAGCGUUGUCCGGAAUUAUUGGGCGUAAAGAGCUCGUAGGCGGUUUGUCGCGUCGGCCGUGAAAACUUGGGGCUUAACUCCAAGCUUGCGGUCGAUACGGGCAGACUUGAGUUCGGCAGGGGAGACUGGAAUUCCUGGUGUAGCGGUGAAAUGCGCAGAUAUCAGGAGGAACACCGGUGGCGAAGGCGGGUCUCUGGGCCGACACUGACGCUGAGGAGCGAAAGCGUGGGGAGCGAACAGGAUUAGAUACCCUGGUAGUCCACGCCGUAAACGGUGGGUGCUAGGUGUGGGGGGCGUUCCGACGCCCUCUGUGCCGCAGCUAACGCAUUAAGCACCCCGCCUGGGGAGUACGGCCGCAAGGCUAAACUCAAAGGAAUUGACGG
rnacentral:rRNA from 1 species